AUGAACGCUGGCGGCGUGCCUCAUCCAUGCAAGUCGCGCGAACAGACGAGGAGCUUGCUCCUCUGACGUUAGCGGCGGACGGGUGAGUAACACGUGGAUAACCUACCUAUAAGACUGGGAUAACUUCGGGAAACCGGAGCUAAUACCGGAUAACAUGUUGAACCGCAUGGUUUAACAGUGAAAGACGGUCUUGCUGUCACUUAUAGAUGGAUCCGCGCCGCAUUAGCUAGUUGGUAAGGUAACGGCUUACCAAGGCAACGAUGCGUAGCCGACCUGAGAGGGUGAUCGGCCACACUGGAACUGAGACACGGUCCAGACUCCUACGGGAGGCAGCAGUAGGGAAUCUUCCGCAAUGGGCGAAAGCCUGACGGAGCAACGCCGCGUGAGUGAAGAAGGUCUUCGGAUCGUAAAACUCUGUUAUUAGGGAAGAACAAAUGUGUAAGUAACUAUGCACGUCUUGACGGUACCUAAUCAGAAAGCCACGGCUAACUACGUG
rnacentral:rRNA from 1 species